rnacentral:rRNA from 1 species
CGGCAACGGCCCAAAACUCAAAGGACUUGGCGGUGCUUUAUACCCUUCUAGAGGAGCCUGUUCUGUAAUCGAUAAACCCCGAUAAACCUCACCAAUCCUUGCUAAUACAGUCUAUAUACCGCCAUCUUCAGCAAACCCUAAAAAAGGAAUAAAAGUAAGCAUAAUCAUUACACAUAAAAACGUUAGGUCAAGGUGUAACCUAUGGAAUGGGAAGAAAUGGGCUACAUUUUCUAAUUCAAGAA